AGUGAACGCUGGCGGUAGGCCUAACACAUGCAAGUCGAACGGCAGCACAGUAAGAGCUUGCUCUUACGGGUGGCGAGUGGCGGACGGGUGAGGAAUACAUCGGAAUCUACUUUUUCGUGGGGGAUAACGUAGGGGAACUUACGAUAAUACCGCAUACGACCUACGGGUGAAAGCAGGGGAUAUUCGGACCUUGCGCGAUUGAAUGAGCCGAUGUCGGAUUAGCUAGUUGGGGGGGUUAAGGCCCAGCCAGGCGCCGAUCCGUAGCUGGACUGAGAGGAUGGUCAGCCACACUGGAACUGAAACACGGUCAAUGCUCCUGCGAGAGGCAGCAGUGUGGAAUGUUGGGCAGUGGGCGCAAGUCUGACCCAAUCAGACCGCGUGGGUGAAGAAGACCUUCCGUUCGUAAAGCCCUUUUUUUGGGAAAGAAAAGCAGCAGGUUAAUACCCCGCUGUUCUGACGGUACCCAAAGAAUAAGCACCGGCUAACUUCGUG
rnacentral:rRNA from 1 species